rnacentral:rRNA from 1 species
UGGGGAAUUUUGGACAAUGGGCGAAAGCCUGAUCCAGCAAUGCCGCGUGUGUGAAGAAGGCCUUCGGGUUGUAAAGCACUUUUGUCCGGAAAGAAAUCCUUGGCUCUAAUACAGUCGGGGGAUGACGGUACCGGAAGAAUAAGCACCGGCUAACUACGUGCCAGCAGCCGCGGUAAUACGUAGGGUGCAAGCGUUAAUCGGAAUUACUGGGCGUAAAGCGUGCGCAGGCGGUUUGCUAAGACCGAUGUGAAAUCCCGGGCUCAACCUGGGAACUGCAUUGGUGACUGGCAGGCUAGAGUAUGGCAGAGGGGGGUAGAAUUCCACGUGUAGCAGUGAAAUGCGUAGAGAUGUGGAGGAAUACCGAUGGCGAAGGCAGCCCCCUGGGCCAAUACUGACGCUCAUGCACGAAAGCGUGGGGAGCAAACAGGAUUAGAUACCCUGGUAGUCCACGCCCUAAAACGAUGUCAACUAGUUGUUGGGGAUUCAUUUCCUUAGUAACGUAGCUAACGCGUGAAGUUGACCGCCUGGGGAGUACGGUCGCAAGAUUAAAACUUAAUGAA